CACAUACGCACGUAGUUUACAACCCGUACAGUAGGUGGCGGCAUGCACCUCUAACAAGAAUAUGGACUGGGGGAGAGAGAGAUAGGGCCAGCAAUUGCACUGGGGAACGUUCCUCCGUGGCUGUUUCCGAAACCAAGUGUAGAUGUCGACAUGAUCUGAAGGGUCUGAAUACUUUCCGAAUGCACUGUAUGUUCAGUAUAUUGUGAGUUUUGACUGUAUGUAUGACAUCUGUCCUGUAUUGUGUUGGAAGACUCAGGGAUUGAACCCCUGCUACUAGGAUUACAUCCUGAGUCUGGAUCACUACACUACCACUAGACCAAACUCAAACUAGUCAUGGAACAGAUAAAGUCAUUAUUUUACAGUUCAACCUGACCAGAGGUCCACAUGAAGGAGAAGCAAGGGACCAGUCCAGUGUGAAGACAACCCCUCAGGUGAUCCUGGAGAGGUGGUCUAUGACAAAGACACAUUUCCCAUCGGACAUCGGCCUCUUAUGAACGUGGUACCUUCAGGCAUUUGGAAAUUGCUCCCAAGGAUGAACCAGACUUGUGGAGGUCUACAUUUUUUUUCUGAGGUCUUGGCUGAUUUAUUUUGAUUUUGCCAUGAUGUCAAGCAAAGAGGCACUGAGUUUGAAGGUAGGCCUUGAAAUACAUCCACAGGUACACCUCCAAUUGACUCAAAUUAUGUCAAUUAGCCUAUCAGAAGCUUCUAAAGCCAUGGCGUCAUUUUCGGGAAUUUUCCAAGCUGUUUAAAGGCACAGUCAACUUAGUCUAUGUAAACUUCUGAC
rnacentral:lncRNA from 1 species